AUUGAACGCUAGCGGCAUGCUUUACACAUGCAAGUCGAACGAGUGGCGGACGGGUGAGUAAUAUAUCGGAACCUGCCCAGUAGCGGGGGAUAACUACUCGAAACAGUGGCUAAUCCCGCAUACUAUCGGAUCUGCCCAUAUCGGAUUAGCUAGUUGGUGGGGUAACGGCUCACCAAGGCAACGAUCCGUAGCUGGUUUGAGAGGACGCCAAGCCACACUGGAACGGAGACACGGUCCAGACUCCUACGGGAGGCAGCAGUGGGGAAUUUUGGACAAUGGGGGAAACCCUGAUCCAGCCAUCCCGCGUGUAUGAGAAGGCCUUCGGGUUGUAAAGUACUGUUAGCAGGGAAGCGGUAUCUGCAGAAGAAGCACCGGCUAACUACGUGCCAGCAGCCGCGGUAAUAC
rnacentral:rRNA from 1 species